rnacentral:lncRNA from 1 species
UUAGCUUUAAGGCCUAAUAUCACCUAAUUAUGGGACUCAAAUGAACAAGUGUGUAACUAGAGAGUUGUAGAUAUUUAAAAUAGCUUUCUAGAAAGGUAUCAUACGUGAUUUUUGGUUGAAAGAUGCAUUAUGUGGCUCUAUUUUUGUGAAAGUUGUUUCUGCUGUCAAUAUGUUGAAGUUGCGAUGAUAUAUUAUGCAUGAGUGAAUGUUCUUGCGUUCCUUUACGUGGAUUAUAUUUAUUUUGUCAGUUAAUGGUUCAAGGGUCGCUCACCUAGCCGUAAUUCCCUUAUAACCUGUGAAUGUUGUGUUGUGAAGGUUGUUGUAUAAAGAGUAUGAUAAGACUCUAGGAUUGACUUUAGAGACUUAACAAAGAGAAAAGUGUAAUAAACUCGCUUGCAAGUAAAUGUGAAUAAUUUGGACAUAGGUCAGGUAGACUAUGGUCCUUGAGAACGAUGGUACCUUGCACGCGAGGGAGUUAUUUGGGUUGACUGCGGUCUCCCGUGAACCUUGUGGGCCGGUGUGGCUUCACGUGAUUUGGUUGACUGCGGUCACCGUGAACUUUUGUGGAUCAUUGCGGCUCCACGUGAUUUGGUUGACUGCGGUCACCGUGAUAAUCGUGCCUCUGCGGAAGCACGAAGAUGGCCAUGAAAGUUUUGGUGGGUUGUGUGAAGUGAGAUUCCGUUAGUAACUGACUCUUUCCCAUAAAAGACAUAUAAUGUACUUAUAUUAUAUAUGUUGUUGUUGAUUUUGUCAUUAUCAUUCUUUUGUUGGACCUGACCCUGCUUGUUUGCUAUGUGUUUAUUUGGGGGGGGUAGAUGGUCGUGAAGAAAAUGGCGACGACUCAUUCUUGGGAGUUGAUGCUACGUGACGAGCCACUACAGAUGACGACUACACUUCUGAUGAAGAGGAAGAAGAUAAAGAGGAAGGGGCCAAGGAUAUGGUUGGGUUGUGAGACAUCCAUUUUUCUUUUGGGUUGAGAGUACCGAGUUUUGGAAGUAUUGAACCAUUACUUUAUUUUAGUUGAGAUAGUUUAACUUGAUGUAAUUUACUUUGAAGUUUUCUUCCGGAUAUUUAUUUCAUACUCUUUUCAAUGAUUAAUAAAGUUUGAGGUUUACGUUGAUGAUUAUUUCUGCAAGUUUGAAAUGGUUAAGUUUCGAGAAUUUUGUAAAAUUGAACUUUUAUCAUUAAUUCAAGAUUAAUAAGUGAAUCGACGAAAACUCUUUACGAAAAUUGGUUAAUUAGUUACUGAGUAACACUCGAGAAAUCGGGGCGUUACAUUGUGGUAUCAGAGCUCCGGUUGAGAAACCAGAGCACUAAGGGUUUUGGGCUUAUGAGUUUCCGAACUCGUUUAUGUUUUUGUUUUUGAUAAAGAUGUUUUCAAAGCUUCGCGGUGAGAUUGGGUAGACUUGUGUGCUAAGAUGUUUGCUUGACUUUCGGAUUGUCUGAAAUUAGUAUCAUUGUCGUGAUACUUGAGAUUGCCGAAGAGUGUGUGAAAAAGUUAGGAUUGCUAACUGCUGAUUUACCCUUCGAUCUGGUGGUACCCCUGCCACUGAUCAAUUAGUUACACGCACGACAUGCUUACAAUGUCCGUUGGUUUACGAGGAUCAGAAGUUCUUUGCCAACCUCGUCUGUUUAGGGCUCAAAGAGCUUGAUGUGAUCUUGGGAAUGGAUUGGUUAGCGCAAUAUCACGUGCUCUUAGAUUGUGCUAACUAGGCGGUGGUAUUCCCAGAUCCCGGCGUUACGGAUUACUUAAAUUCGUACAACCUGGGGAAGGGUUCACCGGCGUAUGUGAACUCUAUCGUUGCCGAAGCAAAACAUGAUGGUGAUGUGCGCAAUAUCUUGGUGGUACAGGAGUAUGUCGAUGUGUUCCCAGAAGAUGUACCCGGCUUGCCACCAGUCAGAGAGACGGAGUUCUCUAUUGACAUUGUGCCCGGUACUGGACCAAUAUCAAUGGCACCUUAUCGUAUGGCCCCAGCGGAGUUGGCAGAAUUGGCACAGCAGUUGGAUGAUCUAUCCUCAAAGGGAUUCAUUCGACCCAGCGUAUUGCCAUGGGGUGCACCUGUGCUAUUGGUAAAGAAGAAGGAUGGGAAGUCCAGAUUGUGUGUGGAUUACCGACAGCUGAAUAAGGUGACAGUGAAGAACCGUUAUCCGAUGCCUCGGAUAGACGACUUAAUGGAUCAACUUAGAGGAGCGGUGAUCUUCUCGAAGAUAGAUCUUAAGUCAGGAUACCAUCAGAUCCGAGUCAAGGAAUCUGACAUCCAGAAGACCGCAUUCAGGACUCGAUACGGGCAUUAUGAAUAUCUUGUGAUGCCGUUUGGGGUUACUAAUGCACCCGUUGUAUUCAUGGACUACAUGAACCGUGAAUUCAGGCCAUUCCUGGACAAGUUCAUGGUGGUGUUCAUUGGUGAUAUUUUGAUUUACUCGAAGAGUAAGGAAGAACACGAAGAGCAUUUGCGUCAAGUGCUAGGAGUAUUGCGGGAGAAGGAGCUAUAUGCUAACGGCUCGAAGUGUGAAUUCUGGAUGGAAGAGGUGAGGUUCCUAGGUCAUGUCAUAUCAAGUCAGGGUGUGGCUGUUGACCCUAGCAAGAUCGAGACGAUUCGGUCAUGGGAGCAACCAAAGACAGCAAGCGACAUCAGAAGUUUUGUCGGGCUUGCAGGCUACUAUAGGCGAUUCGUCAAAGAUUACGCAAAGUUGACUUCGCCGUUGACCCAGUUGACAAAGAAGAAUCAACCGUUUGCGUGGACGGAGAAGUGUGAGGCUAGUUUCCAGGAGUUGAAGAAGCGGCUGACCACCGCACCCAUACUAGCUUUACCUAAGGAAGGAGAACCUUAUGACGUGUAUUGUGAUGCGUCACACAAUGGUUUGGGUUGUGUAAUGAUGCAAGAUAAGAAAGCAAUUGCCUAUGCUUCAAGGCAGUUGAAGACUCAUGAGAAGAACUACCCCACACAUGACUUGGAGUUGGCUGCCAUAGUUUAUGCUCUCAAGAUUUGGAGACACUAUCUCUAUGGCAGUAUGUUCACGAUCUACAGCGAUCAUAAGAGUUUAAAGUACUUAUUUGAUCAAAAGGAUCUGAACAUGAGGCAGCGGAGGUGGAUGGAAUUCCUUCAGGACUAUGAGUUCACUCUACAGUACCAUCCGGGGAAAAGCAAUGUCGUAGCCGACGCUCUCAGCCGGAAGGCUAUACAUGUGUCCUCAAUGAUGGUUAAGGAGUUAGAACUGUUGGAGGCUUUCCGAGAUCUGAGCUUGGACGUUAAGCUCGCACCAGGAAGACUGAGUUUCGGAAUGGUGACGGUGUCAAGUGGACUUGUGGAAGAGAUCAAGUCUAGACAAGAGACUGAUGAAGGGAUAGCUGAGUGGCGAGACCGUGUGACUCAGGGAAAGGCACCAGAGUUCUCUAUUGGGAAUGACAAUAUUCUGCGAUGCAAGGGACAGAUAUGUGUGCCUGACAAUGCAGAGAUGAGAAGAUUGAUCCUGGAUGAGGGACACAAGAGUAGACUGAGUAUCCAUCCCGUAAUGAACAAGAUGUAUCAGGACUUGAAACUUCACUUCUGGUGGCCUGGGAUGAAGAAGCAGGUUGCUGAGUAUGUUUCUACUUGCCUGACAUGUCAGAAGGCGAAGGUAGAGCAUCAGAAGCCCGCAGGGAAGCUGCAACCACUAGAUGUCCCAGAGUGGAAGUGGGACAGCAUUUCUAUGGACUUCGUGACGGCGUUACCUUUAACUCGGAGGAAGUUCGAUGCAAUUUGGGUUGUUGUUGAUCGUUUGACAAAGACCGCUCAUUUUAUCCCGAUCAACCUGAAGUACAAGGUGGAGAAAUUGGCGGAGAUUUAUGUGGCUGAGGUUGUACGUCUACAUGGUGUACCGACCAGCAUCGUGUCAGACAGAGAUCCGAGGUUUACCUCUCACUUUUGGGGAGCCUUGCAGCAGGCCCUCGGAACUAAGUUGAGGUUGAGCUCUGCCUAUCAUCCCCAAACCGAUGGGCAGACAGAGAGGACAAUCCAGUCGCUGGAAGAUUUGCUACGGGCCUGUGUGUUGGAUCACAAGGGCAGUUGGGAUGAGAUGCUGCCAUUGAUCGAAUUCACUUACAACAAUAGUUUCCAUGCGAGCAUCGGCAUGGCACCUUACGAAGCUUUGUACGGUCGGAGGUGUCGUACGCCCUUAUGCUGGCAUCAAGAUGGAGAAAGUUUGGUGAUUGGCCCGGAAUUGGUGCAACAGACCACCGAGGAAGUCAGGAGAAUUCAGGAAAAGAUGAGAACCGCGCAGAGUCGCCAAAAGAGUUACGCCGACAACCGACGAAAGGAGUUGAAAUUUCAGGCCGGAGACCAUGUCUUCUUGCGGGUUACCCCGAUGACAGGUGUCGGAAGGGCAAUCAAGUCCAAGAAGCUUACUCCGAAGUUUAUUGGGCCGUACCAGAUCACGGAGCGAGUUGGACCGGUGGCGUACAGGAUCGCCCUACCACCGUUUCUAUCCAACAUCCAUGACGUUCUUCAUGUGUCGCAGUUGCGGAAGUACAUGGCAGAUGAUUCGCAUGUGAUUACGCCUGACGACAUACAGCUGAGAGAUGAUCUGACAAUGGAGGUGUCACCCAUCAAGAUCGUCAACCGAAGCAUAAAGCUCUUAAGAAACAAGGAGGUGCCUUUAGUGAAGGUCGUGUGGAACCAAGAGACUGGUGACGCGACCUGGGAGUUAGAGGAUAAGAUGCGGGAGUCACACCCCGAUUUAUUUGUAAACCCUUAAGUUUCGAGGGCGAAACUAUUUUUAAGGGGGGUGGUAUUGUAAGGCCCUAAGUUCAAUUUGGAACAAUUUUAUGGAAGUUUGAAUAAAAUUGAAGUUUUAGCUAAUGUUUGAUAACUGGCAGAUUAGAACUGUCAACUUGUGCGAAUUUUUAGAGGGUCUUAACGACUUCAUUUGGGAAAACUUCCUUCAUGAGAGUUGUAGCCCUUUAAGUUAAGAAAAUUCUCGUUGUGGUUUCGUGUAAAUCCGAUAUCUGUAGCUCCAGAUAUCCCUGUUUUAAUGAGCAAAGGUCGGGCUGUACAGUACCAGCGAACUAGAUGAGGAGUUUUUAUUUUAAUUCCGAUUUUGCUUCUGUUUUUACAUAGAAGGACUUGGGUUUUAAUUGAGUUUAGACCAGAUUAAGAACUAAACUGAUGGGCCAAGGGUUCGGGCUUGAAAAGAAUAUUGAAACCCUAGCCCACUAGGUUGUGUGUGUUGCGGGUUCAAGAGGGGUAAAGGGGGGAAACUUGUUUCUUUUCUCCAUAUCAGAAACAGAAAACUAGAGCACUCUUUACGUAAGAAAACAGAAGAGAAAAGAGUGAGAGAACCACCCCUUGCACCCUUAGCCGCCGCCGACCAAGCCAUCACCGCCACCUUGUGCGCGCGCGAGAGAGAGAGAGGGAGACCUGCGAGAGAGAGAGCUCGAGUAGGAGGGAAGAGAGGGACGAGGACAGCAAGCUACUGAGCUCUGAACCUGCAAUCUUUUCUCCUUUUCAGACCAAGAACCCGAGGUAAGGGCUGGUUCUAGGAAUGGGUAGGUUCUUUAGGGAAUAUGCCAUGAAUUGCCAUGAGAAACAACUUGAGUUUUGGACUGUUUUUGCAUGAUUUCCUGUACAUGCUUGCUUGCUGGAAUUUUUCUCUUGAAUAGCCAUGAAUAUGAUCCUCAAACGUUGUUUAUGAUCUGAAUCUAUGAUUUUAUGCGAGUUGUCAUGGUAUUUGUUAAGUUUUGUGCUAUUUUGCACUUGUUAUAACAUGAUCCUUGCUAAAUGUUUGGUUCUGAAAUUUUGAGUGGAUAUUUGGGUUGUUGGGGCUGUACCAAGAUUGCCAUGAUCAAAGGGGAAGGAAGGAAAAUUAUUUUUGAAAACCAUAGAGCCAUGGGAGUUUCGCUGCCAGUUUCCUGUACUGGACAGCGGACUUCAGAGCCCCUUUUUACCUGUUUAUGGUCAUCAAAUGAAAAAGUGAUUAAAAUGAAAGUUGUAGAUUUUCGAAAUAUCUUUCCAGACAUAUAAAAAACAUAGUUUUUGGUUUAGUAAUGUGAUCUGGGGGUCGUGUUUAGUAACUGUCACACCUGCUGUUUUUCCUGUUCCGGACAGUUAGCUUUAAGGCCUAAUAUCACCUAAUUAUGGGACUCAAAUGAACAAGUGUGUAUCUAGAGAGUUGUAGAUAUUUAAAAUAGCUUUCUAGAAAGGUAUCAUACGUGAUUUUUGGUUGAAAGAUGCAUUUUGUGGCUCUAUUUUUGUGAAAGUUGUUUCUGCUGUCAAUAUGUUGAAGUUGCGAUGAUAUAUUAUGCAUGAGUGAAUGUUCUUGCGUUCCUUUACGUGGAUUAUAUUUAUUUUCUCAGUUAAUGGUUCAAGGGU